rnacentral:rRNA from 1 species
AGGACGAACGCUGGCGGCGUGCUUAACACAUGCAAGUCGAGCGGAAAGGCCCUUCGGGGUACUCGAGCGGCGAACGGGUGAGUAACACGUGAGUAAUCUGCCCCUAGCUCUGGGAUAGCUCCGGGAAAACCGGGAUUAAUACCGGAUACGACCACCUUAGACAUCUUUUGUGGUGGAAAGAAUUUCGGCUAGGGAUGAGCUCGCGGCCUAUCAGCUUGUUGGUGGGGUAACGGCCUACCAAGGCGACGACGGGUAGCCGGCCUGAGAGGGCGACCGGCCACACUGGGACUGAGACACGGCCCAGACUCCUACGGGAGGCAGCAGUGGGAAUAUUGCGCAAUGGGCGAAAGCCUGACGCAGCGACGCCGCGUGGGGGAUGAAGGCCUUCGGGUUGUAAACCCUUUCAGCAGGGACGAAGCGAAAGUGACGGUACCUGCAGAAGAAGCGCCGGCUAACUACGUGCCAGCAGCCGC